rnacentral:lncRNA from 1 species
AGGGAUUGUUUAGCUGAAAUGGAAGAUUUGAUAUCUGAACAAGGAGUUCUAAAUAAUUCUCUGCACCUUAAUCUGCCAAUACUCACUCUAAAACUACACAAAGGAGAUUCAAAAUAAAAAGAGGAUGAUAAACGGCAAAACCAUCUGAGGUAUUGCAUAAUUGAAACCACAGAUUGCUGCAAAAUAGCUUGGUAGAUAUGAGUAGUUGCCCAAGUUGCAGAAGAGGAUGCUGUUGUACACAUCAUCCUUGAGAUAGGAUGUAGAAACCCAGACACAGACGGAUUGAUGAUACUCUAGAUACCGAGCACUUCUUUAAUUUCUUCUUCUAACAACUGUGAAGUGGUCAAAAGGCAGAAAUGAGGAGGAAAGCAAAAAAGAAGAAGCCACAGGGUG